AUACGGAGGAUGCAAGCGUUAUCCGGAUUUAUUGGGUUUAAAGGGUGCGUAGGCGGUUUGCUAAGCGGGAGGUGAAAUGCCGGCGCUCAACGUCGGAAGUGCCUCCCGAACUGGUGGACUUGAAUGACUCUGCCGUGGGAGGAAUGUGUAGUGUAGCGGUGAAAUGCUUAGAGAUUACCCAGAACACCGAUUGCGAAGGCAACUCACGAAGGGUUGAUUGACGCUGAGGCACGAAAGCGUGGGGAUCAAACAGGAUCAGAUACCCUGGUAGUCCACGCAGUAAACGAUGAUGGCUAACCGCUGGGCUUAUCAGUUCAGUGGCCAAGCGAAAGCGAUAAGCCAUCCACCUGGGGAGUACGACCGCAAGGUUGAAACUCAAAUGAAUUGACGGGG
rnacentral:rRNA from 1 species